GCUGGGCACAGUGGCUCAUGCCUGUAAUCCCAGCACUUGGGAGGCUGAGGUGGGUGGAUCACCUGAGGUCAGGAGUUCGAGACCAGCCUGGCCAACAUGGUGAAAUCCCAUCUCUA
rnacentral:sRNA from 1 species